GGGCCUCGUCCAAAGCCCCAUGAGCUUUCCCCCUAGCUUCCCUGCCCUUCUUGGUAGCAUCACCCCUUUCCUCCGUGUCCAGGCUUUCCUGUGCACAGAUGCUGGUUCCACCUACAGGCAUGUUGACCAGAUCUUCAGUUUCCCUCUAUUUUUUAUGCCACAAGAACUUCCUUAUACCAAAUUUUUGGUCCAUCACUGGACUUGCAGCUGGAAUUUAGGAUGGGGGCGGAGCUAUGAAAUUUAUCUGUGCUUCUAUUUCUUCACCACCAAGAUUUAUUCCUCUUUUCUUAUCUUCUGAUUGUUAUCAUCAGUAUUAGUUACAGUAUUGCCAUCAAUUCUCUUCUCCUUCUGCCUUCAUGGAAACCUCUCCAGAUGGUCACGUGUCUUUCUUAAGAAACCGGCCCUCCUGCAGUCGAAUCCCACUUCUAAUACUUAUGAGCCUGACCAACAGCAUGCAAAGGAUCCCUGCCAGGCAGGUGACACAGAAAUGGGGGACAGUGCACGGACCCUCAGCCCUCCCUCAGGUACCAGCAUGGACUGACACCACCUCAACAGAUAACUGCCCUCAUUUCCAGACAUGUUGGGAGAACGUCUCCUUCCUAAAGCAGUUAGUGGUGGCACAACUCUGGUGUAAACCCUUGUGUGUGACUUCCACCUGUAGAUAAGACCUUGAACUGGCCAUUGGUGAAGUGGAAGCAAAAAUGUCAUUUCUACCUCAACACUAAAGUCUAUUGACGCUCUCAAAGUAGACAGUGCAUGGCACAGAGGCAAGCAGAUUUUUCCCGAAGGCAGACAAUUGAUUAAUACAAAAUGCUCUUUGCUGGUCUAAUAAUUUUCAACUCACAAAAACCUAUGGUGUUGUAGUCUUGAUGUCAAGCUUAUGACUGAGUCACUUUUCCAAGCUUUCAGAACUACAUAAAGCAUCACAUGAGGAGUCUGAGUUCAUGUAUCGAUGCAUAUUAUGUGUAGCAUGCCAUCCAACUGUGUUUCCAACACAGCUUUUAAAUGCUUAGCAGAAGGGUAUCUCACUUAGUUAAUUUUUAGACUAGUAAUGAUCUUAAAUUACCCUAUAAAUGAUGAUAAAUAGAAAAUGGAACCAAUAAUAAACAUAACUGACUCGUCCUAGAUAUACA
rnacentral:lncRNA from 12 species